AAACCCACAGGAAGAAGAGAUUGCAGUAAACAGAAUUAAUGCCUCCUAAAGACGUCUGGGUCCUAAUCCCCAAAACCCACAGAUACACUGCCUUCAUAGCAAAAGGGACUUUGCAGAUGUGAUUAAGUUAAGGCUCUUGAGACAGGAAGAUUAUCUUGGAUCCCCUGAGCCCAGUGUCACCACAAGGGUCCUUAUAAGAGAAAGGCAAGAAAGGCAGAGUCAGAGAGAAUGCGAAGACAGAAACAGUGAUGUGAGGCCGAAAUCCAAGGAAUGACACAGCCUCCAGAAGCCAGAAAAGGCAAGGAUUGGAUUAUCCCCAAGAGCCUCGGAAGGGACACACUCAUUUCGAUCGCCACAGCUGUAAAAGGCAGAAGGAUGGGUAUAUAAAUUUGAAUGUAUGGAUGCUGAGAGAAAGACUUACAGGAACACGUGUGAAAAUGUUUACAAAAAUUAUCUCCAAGUGAAAAAAGGUAUCUACUCAAUGGAAAUGAAAGACUUAUAUGUAAAUGUUUGCAAUAGCUUCCUCCUCAAUAGUCAGAACCUGGAAACCAUCAGAUGUCCAUCAGCACUACACUUGAUACAUAAAUUGUGGCAUAUUCACCUAAUAGCAUACAAUACAGCAAUACACAAACUGCAAAAAUA